AAUUUGAAGAAGCCGCUGCUACCAACCACCCCCCGGGCCGGACCCGGGCCCGCCCCCGCCUCGGCCCGCGACUGCCUCCCCUCCCGGCCCACCUGCCGCCGCCGCUCGGCCCCGGUCCCGGUCCCGACCCCGCCUGGCGGCAGACCGCCCCCCCUCCCAGGGUCAAAGAGGGACUGACCGCUGCUUACGAGACACCGGGCGUUGAAGUGCCCUUGUAAAGCUCGGUUGGUUUCACCGCCUGGAGCCCUGCCCCAGAGUUUGUCCUCCUUGUAUGCCCACAUUAGGCCUGGAGCAGCACACAGGCCCCGGCUGCUGCAGCCACAGGCGACUGGUGCCUCCCGAGUCUGAGCUGGACAGCUGCAGAAGCUGGCAUCGGCGGUGGGGAGGGGCUAGCAAGCACCCUCAGAUGCCACCGGCAGCAUCGGUGGUGGGGAUGGGGCUGGCAAGAACCCACAGACCAGCAUCAGGGAUGGAGCUGGCGAGCCCUGGCAGCAGGGAUGGCCCUGUCACGGGCAGGGGGCACGUGCCUCCCCUACCAGUCACCUAUUGCCACAACCCUCAGCUAGAGCAGUGGCUCUCAACCAUUUUUGUACUGUUUGUAAGCCUUGAUGGCCAGGCCCGGCCCAGUGCCCCUCACUCCCGACUUGCUGCCCCCAGUGUGUGGGGGGCACGUAGGGCCCCAAGCAGCCCCUCGCAGGCUGGAACUUGACUAACAUGCCAGGGAAAAGCCACGGUUUCCCACAUUUUUCUCCUUUCAAGGAGAAUCCAUUUGUAAAGUUUGGUCGCGCCCUUUUCGUAUAUUCUUGCAAGCCACGUUUGGGUCGUGACUCACGGGUUGAGAAAUGCUGCUAGCCUAAAGGAACUCCUGCUGGAGGCUCCUCAGUCACUGCCUUCCUUCUGGAAUUGCAAACAGUAAUGCUCAAGGGAGUGAGGGAGAGAGCCAGCUUGUUGGUCUGAAGUUGGGAGGGGGCAGGGAGAUGCAUCUGAGGAUGCGAGGUCCAGUUCACAAAAGCUGAUGCUCUCUAAAGUAUCUUAUUUUGUUCAUCCAGAAGGGACAUAUCCACCCUGACUUAUGAUAGCAGACAUUAUUCAAUUUGGCCCCCAUGUUUCCUGCCCCUUUCCCUCCCAUCUGUCCUCUUGCUUCUCACUGGGCACAUCUACAUGUGCAUAUUAAUGCAUUACGUGCUGGAGUUUAUUGUUCCCAGGUGCUGCAUUUAUACACAGGCACCUGGAACCACACCAUGUUGAACCAGGCUGGUGCAGCUCCAGUUGGCAGGGCACUCUGCUGGGAGGAAAGGGGUCAGCCUGCCAGCCCGGAUCUACUCCCCCCAGCUCAACAUGCUGCAGAGGGGCUGGCUGCAACACAAGGGUGCUUAUCUCGGGGUAGGCAGCAGACAGCUCUUCAAUGUAGCACCCUCGUGCCUCAGCCAGCACUGUCUACAAGUGCAGUGGUAAAUAAGCCCAUUGUAGAAUAAUACUUGUGUUAAUCAGUACUAUCCUAAGGCAGAGUUAAUUAAAUUACUCCAGCCUAAUAUGAGUGCAUGUGUAAACACUGACCCUUUACUGCAGUGCUAAUUAGUCAACUCUACAGUAAACAUUUUGUGUAGAGGUGCCUGCUGUCUCCUAGAUUCGAGCCUCAAUCUGGGAAACAAACCCCCCUCAGUGGAAUCUCGUCUUUUGACUUCUGUGGUUUGACUGUACAGCACUGUUCCCUGGUCUCUAUGGUAACUUCAGACAGAUGGUUUACCUGGGAUUACCCCGAACCACCAGCAGUUUGCAGCCUUCCUCACCUUCUACUGCAGGCAGGCAUGUUGAUUUCCCAUCUCCAGCUGGAAGAAGCAGCAAUCAGAUGCAAUAACUAGAUCAAGCCAAGCUGUUCCAUUUUCAGCAAGGCAACAUGCAAAUCCAGUUGUCCCUUCAGCUCAUGUACUUGUUGGGAUGCUAUUCGUGAAUAGCAGUGUUUUCCUGAGCUCCAUGCCCAUCAGAAAAGCACCAAGUUGCACAUCUUUAAGUUACCCUUAGGAGACAAAACAUUGCUCGUAGAGUUUGCUCGUAGAGUUUUCCGACAUCCUGGCAGAUGUUAGGUCAAAUAAAUAAUUUGGAGGUCUGACUCAAUCUACUGAGGUCCCUUCUGACCCUAAAAAUCUAUGAAAUAGUAACAUGCCAAAUACUAGAGCAAUUUCUCAUGUGGCAAAAAUGGCACACCUGUCUCAGAGAUGUGACUUGUUAAAAAUGGAACUUGUUUGUAGCAGGUACGCAUCUCAGGUUAAUUUGAACAUCUGACAUGGUAUUAGAUCCUCUGAUGUCCCAAAGUGCUCUGCCCUCCCUCCCACUGCAGAAAGUAGCUCGCUCUCUGACAGUCCACUUAGACCAUUUGUCAGGGAGGCCUGUUUUAUCCUAUCCCUAUUGCUGCCAGGGGGCAAAAACUUUACCACCUAACCAGGACUUUUUUGGGUACUUGCCCAGGUGCUAAGACCUGUAAGGUGUGUGCAGGCAGUCCAGCACCAGAGAGCUGCUUGCUGGUGCUGGACUAGCCACAUGCCCUUUGAAGUUGGGACAGCCCCUUAUUGCCUCCCGGAUUAAUACCAUCUUUGUGACAACUGUUGUGCUCCAGCCAUGGGGUUUAGAACAUGCCGGCCACUGAUAGCUCUUCAUUUUUUGUUUUUUAAUGCUACAGAAAUAAUGUCCAGAAGGGGCCUUAAAUGCAUUAUUUCUCCAUCUUAAUGUUAAACAGACAUGUUCAUUUUGGUGGUUUUCAAUAACUUUUUUUCUUUCUAGUUUUCUUGUCAGCAACAUUUACAUUUGAAUGCUCUUUGUAUUUCCUAGGUCUUUCCCCAGAAGCUUAUAAAAUGCAACUCCAGCAACAUUUUAGACUGCAUCAUGUAAAUCAAGCCCAAAUGAUAACGAUUUAAGCACACCCCACUCCUUUUAAAUCAUUAAAAAACAACAGAUUGGCUGAUGGUUUCUGACCUAAAGACAGCAAUGUCUUAGAAAAUUUUUGCAGUAUACUUAAGUGAAUGGAAUAAUGGAUGCGCCAGAUUAUCAUUGCAGAAGACAGUGAAAUUCCAAACACCCUUGCUGAAAUUUAUUCUCCUGGAUUUUCAAUCAUUGGUGUGUUAAAGAAACUAGUAUGCCUGCUUGCUUGUGCUGGAAAAGCACAAUAGCUAUCCAUUUGUUGCAUCUUGGAUUUCAUAGUAGAUAAGUUUUUUUUCUUAAAACUGUUUUUUUCCUCAUAAUUAUAUUAGUUUGGCUGUGGACCAAUUGUAGUGAAGGCAAAUUAGAUCAUAAUUCUUAAUGCAAUACACCCCUCUCCCUAGAGCAUUUGAUGCAUACUAACUAGAUCAGCAUUUUAAACACGCAGGAAACAUUUCUCACGGGGUUACAUGGUGGCAUAAAAGACAUAAUAUUGGAGCUCUAAUGGAAAAGUAAGGCACUGAUAAACAAAGUGCUGUUUAAGCCAGGUUCCUUGGUAGGGUCCUUGGUAGAAAGGUCUGUCCUGGGUGGCUACAUGGCUUUUUUUUUUUUUAAAGGGAAAUUUCUAUUUUGUCUACAUCCAGAAAGGUCCUCCAUUUGCUUACAAUGGCUCAUUCUUUACUAGUCAUUACUGAUAUUUUUGGCUGACAGUUGUUGGCACCUUACUUUUGUUCUGUUUACUUUCUAUUCGUUUCCAUGCUGUGCCAUGUUGCUGUAGCUGCUAUCAGAUUUUAAGAUAUCAGUGUCAAAUGUAAAUGUUUUGGAGAAGAUGUAGAGUCAGGUUGUAGUACACAAUCUGAGAAGCCUCAAAAUGGGUCUCUCUUCUCAGAAAGGUAAAUAGCUAUCCUGGAGAAAUCAGCGCCCUUUCUAGGUGACUGGUAGUGAACACUCAAGAAGUUAAUAGUCUUCUUUGAAAGUGUAUAUAUCUGACAACCUUUUCAUUGGUCUUUUAUUGUUCAAAUUACUUAUGAACACGUUUGGCCACUGUAUUGUUCAUUUGUUCAGGCAGAUUUUAUAUUCCAAAUUUUCUGUUAAUAAAAUCGUCAAUGAAAAUUA